rnacentral:rRNA from 1 species
UGGGGAAUUUUGGACAAUGGGCGAAAGCCUGAUCCAGCAAUGCCGCGUGUGUGAAGAAGGCCUUCGGGUUGUAAAGCACUUUUGUCCGGAAAGAAAUCCUUGGCUCUAAUACAGUCGGGGAAUGACGGUACCGGAAGAAUAAGCACCGGCUAACUACGUGCCAGCAGCCGCGGUAAUACGUAGGGUGCAAGCGUUAAUCGGAAUUACUGGGCGUAAAGCGUGCGCAGGCGGUUUGCUAAGACCGAUGUGAAAUCCCCGGGCUCAACCUGGGAACUGCAUUGGUGACUGGCAGGCUAGAGUAUGGCAGAGGGGGGUAGAAUUCCACGUGUAGCAGUGAAAUGCGUAGAGAUGUGGAGGAAUACCGAUGGCGAAGGCAGCCCCCUGGGCCAAUACUGACGCUCAUGCACGAAAGCGUGGGGAGCAAACAGGAUUAGAUACCCUGGUAGUCCACGCCCUAAACGAUGUCAACUAGUUGUUGGGGAUUCAUUUCCUUAGUAACGUAGCUAACGCGUGAAGUUGACCGCCUGGGGAGUACGGUCGCAAGAUUAAAACUCAAAUGAAUUGACGGGGUCAUAGCUGUUUCCU